GGUGGCGCCACCGCUCUCCAGCCUGGCAACAGAGCGUGACUCCAUCUCAAAAAAAGAAAAAAAAAAAUUUCAGGGAUAUUUAUGUAGUGACCUGUUAUUUAAUUUUUCAAUAAUAUAAAUCUGUUUCAAGAAAAAGAAAUUUUAAAUAAACUCUUAUGAUUUUCUUUCUCCUGAAAAUUAUUCCAGAACUUAAAAAAAAAGAAGAAACAAAACAGAGUAAGUACAUUAGCUUUAUUCAACAUAGCAUCUUGUCUAGUAGUAAACUACUAAAAACAGUCUCCUGAGUGGAAAAAAUAUAAAUUUUUGUCUAUAGCAUCAGCGUUGUCCUGCGUGUUCUCAUUAUUUUCUCCAAAUAAAUUGGCUCAAUAUGCUGCUAAGUAUUACCAUUUAUGUUUAUUUUGAAGUUCUAUAUCUUGUCUUUCCUGUUUCAUCUGUAAACAGGCAAUUAUUGCCUCAGUGUGUAUUCUGAUACAUUUUCUCUCUAAAUCUAUUGUCCAACAUCUUGCAUAUAAAAUCUGGCUUUUCUCUCAUAUAUCAAAAUCACAGGUCACAUAGUCUCAGUGCCAAGAGUUAUAAGAACAACUACUUUAUUUCACUCCCAUCUCUGUGAAUACAAAACUUCAAUCUCUAAAGUAUUUUGUAUCUAUUUAUAACACUAUGUUCCUGGUUUAUUAUUAUAUUAUUUCAUUAUUAGUUCUUAAAAACUUAACAAGGUGCUGAAUAAUUUUGUGAAAUAUUCCAUGGAGAACUACCAUUAAAAUAGUGAUUACUUUAAUUAUAUUUCAUCACCUCAUUUCACAAGUCAUUACAAAACUUCUUAAUUGUUUAAAAAUGAAUGUACUUGGGUGGGGCACAGUGGCUCACACCUGUAGUCCCAGCACUUUGGGAGGCCGAGGAGGCCAGAUCACCUGAGGUCAGGAGUUUGAGACCAGCCUGGUCAACAUGGUGAAACCCCGUCUCUACUCAAAUUACAAAAAUUAGCCAGGCAUGGUGGCACACGCCUGUAAUCCCAGCUACUCAGGAGGCUGAGGCAGGAGAAUUGCUUGAACCCAGGAGAUGGAGGUUGCAGUUAGCCGAGAUCAUGCCACUCCAGCCUGGCCGACAGAGCAAGACUCUAACAAAAAAAA
rnacentral:lncRNA from 10 species